AUGAUAAAGUCUGGCGGCAUGGUUUUGGUGCGACAAAUCGGAUAUGCUCUUGUUCCCAUGAUUGCCAGGGGAGUUAUGCUUGGUGCAGACCAGCCUGUUAUUCUGCAUAUGCUGGAUAUUGAAUUUGCUGCUGAAGCUCUUAAAGGCGUCAAGAUGGAGUUGAUCGAUGCCGCAUUUCCACUUCUCAAGGGAGUUGUUGCAACAACUGAUGUUGUUGAGGCUUGCACUGGUGUGAAUGUUGCGGUUAUGGUUGGUGGAUUCCCCAGGAAGGAAGGAAUGGAAAGGAAGGAUGUUAUGACGAAAAAUGUUUCAAUCUACAAAGCUCAAGCAUCUGCUCUUGAAGCUCAUGCAGCCCCCAAUUGCAAGGUUUUGGUUGUUGCCAACCCAGCAAACACCAAUGCUCUCAUCCUGAAGGAGUUUGCUCCAUCUAUCCCUGAGAAGAACAUCAGUUGUUUGACCCGCCUAGACCACAACAGGGCACUCGGUCAGAUUUCUGAGAGACUUGGUGUCCAAGUUUCUGACGUUAAGAAUGCUAUUAUCUGGGGUAAUCACUCGUCCAGUCAGUAUCCUGAUGUUAACCAUGCCACUGUGAAGACUCCCAGUGGAGAGAAGCCUGUUCGUGAACUUGUUCAAGAUGAUGAAUGGCUAAAUGGGGAGUUCAUUGCCACUGUCCAGCAGCGUGGUGCUGCAAUCAUCAAAGCGAGGAAGCUCUCCAGUGCUCUCUCUGCUGCCAGCUCAGCUUGUGAUCACAUCCGUGACUGGGUUCUGGGAACCGCUGAGGGAACAUUUGUUUCCAUGGGUGUGUACUCUGAUGGUUCAUACGGUGUGCCUGCUGGUCUUAUCUACUCCUUCCCAGUAACGUGCAGUGGUGGUGAAUGGACAAUUGUUCAAGGGCUCCCGAUCGAUGAGUUCUCGAGGAAGAAGAUGGAUGCGACCGCCCAGGAGCUGUCAGAGGAGAAGGCGUUGGCCUACUCAUGCCUGGCGUAA
rnacentral:rRNA from 1 species